UGGUUCUGGCAUCGAUGAAGAACGCAGCAAAAUGCGAUAAGUAAUGUGAAUUGCAGAAUUCAGUGAAUCAUCGAAUCUUUGAACGCACAUUGCGCCCUUUGGUAUUCCGAAGGGCAUGCCUGCUCGAGCGUCAUUUAAACCUCUCAAGCCCAGCUUGGUAUUGGACGUCCGGCCUUGCGGCCCGUCUGCAACCGCUUCGGCAGCACCUCCGGCUCCAGGCGUAACAUUCUCCUCGCCUUGGAGACCCGGCGCGGGGCUUUGCCGGACAAAAGCAACCAGAGUUUGACCUCGGAUCAGGUAGGGAUACCCGCUGA
rnacentral:misc_RNA from 1 species